GGCUCAUUUGGUGUUGAAACUUCAGGCUCCUGUGUCAACAGUAAAGUUACUUUCACCCAUAUCCUGAUAGCGUAUUCGAGAAGGAAACAUGCUAAAAAGAAUUACGCUUCUACAAAACUUGGGAAUAUCUUUGGAAGAAACGAACCAGCUGCCCUUGUCAUAUACCUGCAUCUCCAAAAUCAACAACUUAAAAGAAAUUCAAUUGCAAAACUGCUACAAAACAAAUUUGACCUUUCUACAUUUGAAGCCAUAAGCUGAAUCAAGUGAAAAAGCAACAGGUGCAAGGAUACAUGCUAAAGUUGGACAAAUAUAAUAACUUUAUGUUCAUAAAGUUUAAAACAACAUUUGCUAUUUAAACCAUCAACGUGUAAGUGUGGGCACAUUAGUAGGCAUCCAACUGAUUGAAUAUCAGAAUUUGAUUAGAAUUAUUUACUAUCAGAACAUUCCAAACAAUCACAAAUCAGUAAAAUAGUCAAAAGUUGGAAUUACAAGAGGCAUA
rnacentral:lncRNA from 1 species